GCCUGGGCUGUGUGUCCGCCGGGCGCUACUGCAUGAGCUCAUCCCCUGGCUCCAGGCGUGGGCAGCGUGGCCAGCGUGGCCUCUGGUGAACGCGAUGCUCCAGCUCCCAAGGCCCGAGCCCACCUGUGCCUGGCGCUUGCCGCCUCCACAAUGGCGUGUGCCUGUGGGCCGGCUCAGUCCCAGCAGCAGGACCCAUGCACU
rnacentral:lncRNA from 1 species